GAAUCCGGGCUGAUUUUAGAUGUGCUGAGAUCCGAGGAUUCCAGGCAAGGAAGUCUUCUCUGCACCUUCGCAAAAGAUUCAGGCUUACAAAGUGGAGGCAGUUACUUUCUCUUCCCAUGCCAGGUUCCUCCAGCCAUCCUGCUUGUCUUCCUCCUCACAGUUGACCUGGGAGAUACGAGCUGUUUUCAAGUAGACUUCCCAUUCAAUGAUAAAGGCUGCCGCUUGGAUGACAAUUUCUAUGCACAUGGGAAAAGGUGGAAGACUAAAGAUUGUCAAGACUGCUCGUGUUUCGAGCACCAUAUGACUUGCUGCUUCAGCUAUGUAAUUCCCUCUUCAUAUGACAAGGAAAACUGUAUAGAUAUUUUUGACUCGAAGUCCUGUACUUUUCACAUUGUGAAGAAGUCCGACCCUAGUAAGAAGUGUGAAAGUGUAAGUACUUCAGGUUAAAGUCUUUGGAUUUCUCUCCCAUGCCAAUAAAGGAAAGAAGGAAUUCACUGAGACCUGGAAAAGGAAGAAUUACACUAUUGGAUGGAAUGCCCUCAUCCCUAGCUCCAAAUUCAUUGUAUUUUCCCCACUUGUCCCCUGGUUCCAUAUAACCUGUUUUCUUCAGUUGCCGUGGA